CCUACGGGGGGCUGCAGUGGGGGAUAUUGCACAAUGGGGGGAACCCUGAUGCAGCGACGCCGCGUGGGUGAAGGCGCGUUUCGGCGCGUAAAGCCCUAUCGGCAGGGAAGAAGAUGACGGUACCUGGCCAAGAAGCCCCGGCUAACUACGUGCCAGCAGCCGCGGGAAUACGUAGGGGGCAAGCGUUAUCCGGAUUUACUGGGUGUAAAGGGGGCGCAGACGGCAAUGCAAGCCAGGAGGGAAAGCCCGGGGCGCAAACCCGGGACCGCUCUUGGAACUGCAUGGCUGGAGUACAGGAGGGGCAGGCGGAAUGCCUAGUGUAGCGGUGAAAUGCGUAGAUAUUAGGAGGAACACCGGUGGCGAAGGCGGCCUGCUGGACUGUGACUGACGUUGAGGCCCGAAGGCGUGGGGAGCAAACAGGAUUAGAUACCCUUGUAGUC
rnacentral:rRNA from 1 species